ACCCGGCUGGCUUAGUCAGUAGAGCAUGUGACUCUUGAUCUCAGGGUCAUGAGUUCGAGCCCCACGUUGGGUG
rnacentral:tRNA from 1 species